GAUGAACGCUGGCGGCGUGCCUAAUACAUGCAAGUCGAGCGAACGGACGAGAAGCUUGCUUCUCUGAUGUUAGCGGCGGACGGGCGAGUAACACGUGGAUAACCUACCUAUAAGACUGGGAUAACUUCGGGAAACCGGAGCUAAUACCGGAUGAUAUUUUGAACCGCAUGGUUCAAAAGUGAAAGACGGUCUUGCUGUCACUUAUAGAUGGAUCCGCGCUGCAUUAGCUAGUUGGUAAGGUAACGGCUUACCAAGGCAACGAUGCAUAGCCGACCUGAGAGGGUGAUCGGCCACACUGGAACUGAGACACGGUCCAGACUCCUACGGGAGGCAGCAGUAGGGAAUCUUCCGCAAAGGGCGAAAGCCUGACGGAGCAACGCCGCGUGAGUGAUGAAGGUCUUCGGAUCGUAAAACUCUGUUAUUAGGGAAGAACAUAUGUGUAAGUAACUGUGCACAUCUUGACGGUACCUAAUCAGAAAGCCACGGCUAACUACGUG
rnacentral:rRNA from 1 species